rnacentral:misc_RNA from 1 species
AUACAGCCUCUUGCUAAUGAACAUGCUUUCAACAUCAGAUUCAGGAAGAUGUCUCCAGGUAAUUGGCAGAAAUAAUUCACCAACAGAUGCAUAUAUGGUUGCCUUGCAGGAAUCAGGAAGAUCAGAUAAAUAUUUAAGAGAGAUGCAAUCCUGAGAUUUCGUCUCUUCAUGCACUUUCCAAUUAAUAGAUACUUGAUGGUUUUUCAAUUCAACACCAG